ensembl:lincRNA
GGUGACUUCUUGGGCUAAGAGGACCCAGGGCUCACAGUCCAUGAUUGCUCAGGGCAAUCCCAUUGAGAAGCUCUUUUAAGCAAUCACUCUUCUGUGAUUCCCUUUCUGGAAAAUUCUGGUAGCUCAACCCUUUCUCAGACUCCAUUCUUACCAAAGCAUCCUAUGUCUGUGUGUUGCAAGGACUCUGAGCUGUAAGGGAUUUCAAGAGAAUGAGAUGGACAAUGUCAAGGGCAUCUUGUAAGUAAGCAACAGAGCUUUCUUGUCAUGAGAAGGGAAGUAGGAAGGUAUCAGGAUCCAGUAAAAACCUUGGGUGAUCAGAACAAACAGGACACAUCAUAGGUCUUCAGAACCCCAUGAAGAGAAGAGGAAGAGGAAAAUCACUCUUGAGGUUCUUCUAUGGAUUUCUCUGUGAUACCAAAGGUCUGGGUCAGCAACAGCCCCAGAGCCUCUGCAGAACCUGGAGCCCUGCAAAGACUGGCUGCAGGUGUCAGAGCUCUGGGGUCUGCACUGGUGGGACCUGCAGUGCCUGUGGUGGCUCAGGCAGCAGCCCCCACACCCAGAGCUGCAGCAGCCUCCACCCCCAGAGCUGCAGCAGCCCCUGGAGCUGGGGGCACAGCAGGAAGACGCUGGAGGGGGACACGGGGCUGGGCACUUGGGAGGACACUUAGGAGUGCACUUGGGUGGGCAUUUGGGGGGACACUUGGGCGGGGGCUGGCACUGCUGCUGGUUUUGCUGGCAGGACAUCUUGGCAGGAACUGAAUGGAGCUGGAAGAAAAUAGAGAAAUUUUAAGUUCAACUAACCCAAAAUAACUUCCUUACAUUUAAAACUGAACUAUAAUUUCACAAGAUUUCUUCUAUAUGGUGAUCAGAUUUUAAAACCCAGUCUCCCCAAAUGAGUUACAAGAGAUAUGCAAAGAGUUUCAACCUAGGAACGCCAUAAUUUCAAAUGAACUUUUCGCAGCUUCAGAAAGAUGCCAAUCCUUUUCCUUCUCCUAAUCCUCUCUCCCCUUUCCAGCAGAAACUUCCCUGCCAAAUCCACUUUUCUCCUUGUCUUCCUUUAAGACUGUCUUCAGCCUCCACCCAGGGCUUCUCUCUGCCCAAAGCACCAGCACCAAGAGUCCCUCCUGGUCCUUUACCUGGUUCAACACUGGAGCAGAUUACCCUGGAGGCAGGUGGACUGAGGUGCUGCCAGGAGCUUCUGCCUUUUAUACAGGUUCAGCUCUGACCUGGCAUCAGGCAAUGCCAACCAAGGGCAGGAUGCUGAUAGCAUCUUUCCCAAGGGGCACAGGUGACUACCCUCCCCUCGCAUCCCAAGGACCCAAUUCCUCCCUCCAUAAGUAUGUCAAGUAUUAACCCACAGGAAGAUCCCCUGAGAAUUGCUGGCCUCUAACUAAGAUAACGAUGCACUCAAUGCCUGUCGGUCUCGCAAGCAUCUCUGCUAUGUUCCUGAUUUCCCAACCUCAGUCAAUAGGGUUCUAGACCUCUGCGAAGGGAAGUACUCUCUUCUCUUUGGUAUAGGAAAUGGAGGGAAAAUUCCCAACAUGGAAAUUAAAUGGACCUUUUGGAAUAAAGAUACCAAUCCAAAAUAAAGUGCCAAGCCCAGGC